UUGGAGGGCAAGUCUGGUGCCAGCAGCCGCGGUAAUUCCAGCUCCAAUAGCGUAUAUUAAAGUUGUUGCAGUUAGAAAGCUCGUAGUUGAAUUUCGGGGUCAGUAGAUCGGUCAUGCCACUGGUAUGUACUGGUCUCACUGAUUCCUCCUUCCUGAUGAGCCGUAAUGCCAUUAAUUUGGUGUUGCGAGGAAUCUGGACUGUUACUUUGAAAAAAUUAGAGUGUUUAAAGCAGGCUAACGCUUGAAUACAUUAGCAUGGAAUAAUGAAAUAGGACGUUCGAUCUUAUUUUGUUGGUUUCUGAGAUUGACGUAAUGAUUAAUAGGGAUAGUUGGGGGCAUUAGUAUUCAAUUGUCAGAGGUGAAAUUCUUGGAUUUAUUGAAGACUAACUACUGCGAAAGCAUUUGCCAAGGAUGUUUUCAUUAAUCAAGAACGAAAGUUAGGGGAUCGAAGACGAUCAGAUACCGUCGUAGUCUUAACCAUAAACUAUGCCGACUAGGGAUCGGAUGAUGUUAAUUUUUUAAUGACUCAUUCGGCGCCUUACGGGAAAC
rnacentral:rRNA from 1 species